rnacentral:rRNA from 1 species
AGCAGCCGCGGUAAUUCCAGCUCCAAUAGCGUAUAUUAAAGUUGUUGCAGUUAAAAAGCUCGUAGUUGAACUUCAGACCUGGCCGGGCGGUCCGCCUCACGGCGUGUACUGUCUGGCUGGGCCUUACCUCUUGGUGAACCGGCGUGCCCUUCACUGGUGUGCGUCGGGGAACCAGGACUUUUACCUUGAGAAAAU